rnacentral:rRNA from 1 species
GACGAACGCUGGCGGCGUGCUUAACACAUGCAAGUCGAACGGAAAGGCCCUGCUUUUGUGGGGUGCUCGAGUGGCGAACGGGUGAGUAACACGUGUGUAACCUGCCCUUGACUUUGUGAUAACUUCAGGAAACUGGGGCUAAUACCGGAUAGGAUCUCCUGCUGCAUGGUGGGGGUUGGUAAGUUUCGGCUGUUGGGGAUGGACUCGCGGCUUAUCAGCUUGUUGGUGGGGUAGUGGCUUACCAAGGCUUUGACGGGUAGCCGGCCUGAGAGGGUGACCGGACACAUUGGGACUGAGAUACGGCCCAGACUCCAACGGGAGGCAGCAGUGGGGAAUAUUGCAAAAUGGGCGGAAGCCUGAUGCAGCAAAGCCGCGUGCGGGAUGACGGCCUUCGGGUUGUAAACCGAUUUCGCCUGUGACGAAGAGUGAGUGACGGUAAUGGGUAAAGAAGCACCGGCUAACUACGUG